UGUUAAAGGGCUAUCGUACCACCGUAAUAUACAGGUUGUUGCAUGUUUUUAGUUGGUAAUAUAUUGAUAAAUGUACUUCAAUAUAGCAUGUCACUGGAACUUUUUCAUUAGAUAGAUAGAUAGAAUAUCUUUUAUUUGUACACAAGAACAGAUUAUACAAAGCUUAUAUACGAACACAUAUUACUAGUGAGUGUACAAAAUACAGAUAUCAUACAUAUACUGAAGUCAUGUUUUGUCUAGUAAAUUUAGGUCCAAUACCCACGGCUCAAAACGCAGUGGCCCGUGUGACUCGGGGGUUAUCCGCUUGUCGUGGUCUCGCGUUCGACUCCCGGCCUGGACGGUUGCCAAGUCGUUUACUGAGUCUCCCGGACCAAUAGGCUGCAUGAUAGAAACUGUGGAUCUAAUGCAUUGAGAAUUUAGUAAACUAGGCAGAAAACAGGAUCAAGAACAGAGGUUAAGAGUUAAUUUUUCAAGUGUCCAUUUUUAGGUUAGACCACGAUUGGGCUAUCUAUUUAUUCUAUGUAAAAAUAUCAAUGAUAUAGGUAUUAUUAUUUCUCACUAGUUAGUUGUUGCUCGCAAGCUUCACUUCGUCUUGAAACCUUUUAACCAACUUCGGAAAAAGGAGGAGGUUCUCAAUUCGGCUGUAUGUAUUCUUUACAUCUGUAAGUAUAUAUUAUUUCAUAUAAAUACAAAAAUAAUUUUAAAUCUAAAUUCAACAAGUUGGCCCAGCCGUUCUCAACGAACACACACAUUGAUUUUAUAGAAGUUACAAAAUAAUACAGAUCUGAUACUCGUAACAUUGUUAUCUUUAUAAAAACAUAAAAACAACAUUAGCAUUUUAUAACUUUUAUAAAUAUUUGCAAAUUUCCAACAUAAUAAUAUUUGUAUUGGCAUGUUUACAACAAUUCCGUUAGUUAAUUAAAUGAAUUGUUUGUUUGUUCGUCUAUUAGUGACGCACUUCUGUUCUGAAUAAAAAGCCGUUUCAGUGGAAUCAGUUCCAUCAUUCAGCAGCAUCAUGAAACUGUUCACAGCACUACUCUUGGUCCUUGCGGUGUGCACUGGCAGUGCCCUCGCCGGCGGUGGCGGCGGCGGCGGCGGCGGCAGUGGUAACGGAAACAGGUACUACGGUUAUAAUGAUAACUACAACCGUGGCGGCGGUGGUGGUGGCGGCGGCGGUGGCGGCAAAUGAACCCAACAAUAGAAAACACGCACACUCUUGCAGAUUCUUAAUCAUGUUUAUACUUAAGCAUAAUGUGUGAGUGUUUUAAAUAAAUGUUUUUGAUUUUAAUAUA